GGUGGCAUACUGGUUAAGAUCUUGGCUGCUAACCAAAAGGUCAGUGGUUCAAAUCUACCUGCCACUC
rnacentral:tRNA from 1 species